ACCUGAAACCGUGUGCUUACAAGUAGUCAGAGCCCCUUGAGGGUGAUGGCGUGCCUUUUGUAGAAUGAACCGGCGAGUUACUUUAUCAUGCGAGGUUAAGUGGAAGACAUGGAGCCGAAGCGAAAGCGAGUCUUAAUAGGGCGAAAUAGUAUGAUGGAGUAGACCCGAAACCAAGUGAUCUACCCAUGGCCAGGUUGAAGUUUAGGUAACACUGAAUGGAGGACCGAACCAGGACACGUUGAAAAGUGUUUGGAUGAGCUGUGGGUAGCGGAGAAAUUCCAAUCGAACUUGGAAAUAGCUGGUUCUCUCCGAAAUAGCUUUAGGGCUAGCCUCGUUGUGAGUUUACUGGAGGUAGAGCACUGUUUGGACUAGGGGCCCAUCCCGGGUUACCGAAUUCAGACAAACUCCGAAUGCCAGAUAAAUAUCAACGGGAGUCAGACUGCGGGUGAUAAGGUUCGUAGUCGAAAGGGAAACAGCCCAGACCGCCAGCUAAGGUCCCAAAUUGUAUGUUAAGUGGAAAAGGAUGUGAUGAUGCACAGACAACCAGGAUGUUGGCUUAGAAGCAGCCACCAUUUAAAGAGUGCGUAAUAGCUCACUGGUCGAGUGACAUCGCGCCGAAAAUGUACCGGGGCUAAACAUACAACCGAAGCUGCGGAUAUAACUAAUGUUAUAUGGUAGGAGAGCGUUCUAACAUCAUAGAAGCCGAACUGGAAGGUGAGGUGGAGAGGUUAGAAGUGAGAAUGCCGGUGUGAGUAGCGAAAGAUAGGUGAGAAUCCUAUCCACCGAAAGACUAAGGUUUCCAGAGGAAGGCUCGUCCGCUCUGGGUAAGUCGGGACCUAAGGUGAAGCCGAUAGGUGAAGCCGAUGGACAACAGGUAGAAAUUCCUGUACCACCGAAUAUCGAUUGAGAGAAGUGGGGACAGAGGAGGCUAAUUGAUCGCCCUGAUGGAAUAGGGCGUCUAAGCACAAAGACUGACAAGUAGGCAAAUCCGCUUGUUGUAAAGGUUGAAGUGUUAAGGGGAGCGAAAUAUAGUAGCGAAGUCAAUGAAGCCAAACUCUCAAGAAAAGCCGCUAUCGAGAUAAGAGGUGCCCGUACCGCAAACCGACACAGGUAGUUGGGAAGAGAAUUCUAAGGUGAGCGAGAGAACCAUCGUUAAGGAACUCGGCAAAAUGACCCCGUAACUUCGGGAGAAGGGGUGCCUACGAGAGUAGGCCGCAGUGAAUAGGCCCAAGCGACUGUUUAUCAAAAACACAGGUCUCUGCAAAACCGAAAGGUGAAGUAUAGGGGCUGACGCCUGCCCGGUGCUGGAAGGUUAAGAGGAGUGCUUAGCGCAAGCGAAGGUAUGAAUUGAAGCCCCAGUAAACGGCGGCCGUAACUAUAACGGUCCUAAGGUAGCGAAAUUCCUUGUCGGGUAAGUUCCGACCCGCACGAAAGGCGUAAUGAUUUGGGCACUGUCUCAACGAGAGACUCGGUGAAAUUUUAGUACCUGUGAAGAUGCAGGUUACCCGCGACAGGACGGAAAGACCCCAUGGAGCUUUACUGUAGUUUGAUAUUGAGUACCUGUAAGUCAUGUACAGGAUAGGUAGGAGCCAUUGAAAUAGGGACGCUAGUUUCUAUUGAGGCGUUGUUGGGAUACUACCCUUGACUUAUGGUUACUCUAACCCGCUGGCAUAAUCGGCCAGGGAGACAGUGUCUGACGGACAGUUUGACUGGGGCGGUCGCCUCCUAAAGAGUAACGGAGGCGCUCAAAGGUUGGCUCAGAUUGGUUGGAAAUCAAUCGUAGAGUGUAAAGGUAAAAGCCAGCUUGACUGCGAGAGCUACAACUCGAGCAGGUAGGAAACUAGGACUUAGUGAUCCGGUGGUACCGCAUGGAAGGGCCAUCGCUCAACGGAUAAAAGCUACCCUGGGGAUAACAGGCUUAUC
rnacentral:rRNA from 1 species